GAAAUGCGAUAAGUAAUGUGAAUUGCAGAAUUCAGUGAAUCAUCGAAUCUUUGAACGCACCUUGCGCUCCUUGGUAUUCCUUGGAGCAUGCCUGUUUGAGUAUCAUGAAAUCUUCAAAGUAAAUCUUUUGUUAACUCAAUUGGUUUCUACUUUGGUAUUGGAGGUCUUUGCAGCUUCACACCUGCUCCUCUUUGUUCAUUAGCUGGAUCUCUGUGUUAUGCUUGGUUCCACUCGGCGUGAUAAGUUAUCUAUCGCUGAGGACACUGUAAAAGGUGGCCAAGGUAAAUGCAGAUGAACCGCUUCUAAUAGUCCAUUGACUUGGACAAUACUUUUAUGAUCUGAUCUCAAAUCCGGUAGGACUACCCGCUGAACUUAAGC
rnacentral:misc_RNA from 1 species